rnacentral:rRNA from 1 species
AGAGUUUGAUCCUGGCUCAGAUUGAACGCUGGCGGCAUGCCUUACACAUGCAAGUCGAACGGCAGCACGGGAGCAAUCCUGGUGGCGAGUGGCGAACGGGUGAGUAAUAUAUCGGAACGUGCCCAGUCGUAGGGGAUAACGUAGCGAAAGCUACGCUAAUACCGCAUACGAUCUAUGGAUGAAAGCGGGGGAUCGCAAGACCUCGCGCGAUUGGAGCGGCCGAUAUCAGAUUAGCUAGUUGGUGGGGUAAAAGCCCACCAAGGCGACGAUCUGUAGCUGGUCUGAGAGGACGACCAGCCACACUGGAACUGAGACACGGUCCAGACUCCUACGGGAGGCAGCAGUGGGGAAUUUUGGACAAUGGGCGCAAGCCUGAUCCAGCAAUGCCGCGUGCAGGACGAAGGCCUUCGGG